rnacentral:rRNA from 1 species
AUUGAACGCUGGCGGCAGGCCUAACACAUGCAAGUCGAGCGGAGUGGCGGACGGGUGAGUAAUGUCUGGGAAUCUGCCUGGUAGUGGGGGAUAACGUCCGGAAACGGUCGCUAAUACCGCAUACUAUCAGAUGAGCCCAGGUCGGAUUAGCUAGUUGGUGGGGUAAAUGCCUACCAAGGCGACGAUCCUUAACUGGUCUGAGAGGAUGAUCAGUCCCACUGGAAUUGAGACACGGUCCAUACGCCUACGUGAAGCAGCGGUGGGGAAUAUUGGACAAUGGGCGAAAGCCAGAAACAGCGCUGCAGCGUGUGUGAAGAAGGUCUUCGGAUUGUAAAGCACUUUUAGUUGGGAGGCGUUACCAACAGAAUAAGCACCGGCUAACUUCGUGCAAGCAGCCGCGGUAAUUC